rnacentral:rRNA from 1 species
UAGCAUAUCAAUAAGCGGAGGAAAAGAAACCAACAGGGAUUGCCCUAGUAACGGCGAGUGAAGCGGCAACAGCUCAAAUUUGAAAUCUGGCCCUCGGGUCCGAGUUGUAAUUUGUAGAGGAUGCUUUUGGUGAGGUGCCUUCCGAGUUCCCUGGAACGGGACGCCAUAGAGGGUGAGAGCCCCGUCUGGUUGGACACCGAGCCUCUGUAAAGCUCCUUCGACGAGUCGAGUAGUUUGGGAAUGCUGCUCUAAAUGGGAGGUAUAUGUCUUCUAAAGCUAAAUACCGGCCAGAGACCGAUAGCGCACAAGUAGAGUGAUCGAAAGAUGAAAAGCACUUUGAAAAGAGAGUUAAAAAGUACGUGAAAUUGUUGAAAGGGAAGCGCUUAUGACCAGACUUGGGCUUGGUUGAUCAUCCUGGGUUCUCCCUGGUGCACUCUUCCAGUUCAGGCCAGCAUCAGUUCGCUGCGGGGGAUAAAAGUUUUGGGAAUGUGGCUCCUCCGGGAGUGUUAUAGCCCAUUUCAUAAUACCCUGCUCCGGACUGAGGUUCGCGCAUCUGCAAGGAUGCUGGCGUAAUGGUCAUCAGCGACCCGUCUUGAAACACGGACCAAGGAGUCGUCUUCGUAUGCGAGUGUUCGGGUGUUAAACCCCUACGCGUAAUGAAAGUGAACGCAGGUGAGAGCUUCGGCGCAUCAUCGACCGAUCCUGAUGUUCUCGGAUGGAUUUGAGUAAGAGCAUACGGGGCCGGACCCGAAAGAAGGUGAACUAUGCCUGUAUAGGGUGAAGCCAGAGGAAACUCUGGUGGAGGCUCGCAGCGGUUCUGACGUGCAAAUCGAUCGUCAAAUAUGGGCAUGGGGGCGAAAGACUAAUCGAACCUUCUAGUAGCUGGUUUCCGCG